rnacentral:rRNA from 1 species
AUGAUCUGCACUGCAGUCAUGCCCCAAAGUUUUACACUACAUACAUACAAACAUAUAGCAGCCGCCCAAUCAUCAGACAAGCUUGCCUGUGACUACCACUUAAUUACUUGGCCGGACGACUCAGGCCGCUGCGCCGUCCACCUGCUGCCUGCGCCGCUUACUGGACUCCUUGAUCUUCAGCAGCUCGUCGCAGACGAUCCACGGGAAGCUCCAGAACUGCUUCUUUCCCGGCCGGCGGUGGUCCGGGUGAUAAGUCACACGGUACAGGAGCCUGUUUCGGAUGUUGCCGGUCAGGAUCUCGUCCUCAUGCUCCGCGCCAUAGUAGCUCAUCAGGGUGCUCAGCUUCUCCGCGUACAGGUCGUAGCACUCCUCCGCAAAUGCCAGGAAUUCCUCGAAGCCAGGGACCUCUAG